UGGGGAAUUUUGGACAAUGGGGGAAACCCUGAUCCAGCCAUCCCGCGUGUGCGAUGAAGGCCUUCGGGUUGUAAAGCACUUUUGGCAGGAAAGAAACGUCGCGGGUUAAUACCCCGCGAAACUGACGGUACCUGCAGAAUAAGCACCGGCUAACUACGUGCCAGCAGCCGCGGUAAUACGUAGGGUGCAAGCGUUAAUCGGAAUUACUGGGCGUAAAGCGUGCGCAGGCGGUUCGGAAAGAAAGAUGUGAAAUCCCAGAGCUUAACUUUGGAACUGCAUUUUUUAACUACCGGGCUAGAGUGUGUCAGAGGGAGGUGGAAUUCCGCGUGUAGCAGUGAAAUGCGUAGAUAUGCGGAGGAACACCGAUGGCGAAGGCAGCCUCCUGGGAUAACACUGACGCUCAUGCACGAAAGCGUGGGGAGCAAAGCAGGAUUAGAUACCCUGGUAGUCCACGCCCUAAAUCGAUGUCAACUAGCUGUUGGGGCCUUCGGGCCUUGGUAGCGCAGCUAACGCGUGAAGUUGACCGCCUGGGGAGUACGGUCGCAAGAUUAAAA
rnacentral:rRNA from 1 species